rnacentral:rRNA from 1 species
UGGCGGACGGGUGAGUAACGCGUGGGUAACCGGCCUCAUACAGGGGGAUAACAGUUAGAAAUGACUGCUAAUACCGCAUAAGACCACAGCACCGCAUGGUGCAGGGGUAAAAACUCCGGUGGUAUGAGAUGGACCCGCGUCUGAUUAGGUAGUUGGUGGGGUAACGGCCUACCAAGCCGACGAUCAGUAGCCGACCUGAGAGGGUGACCGGCCACAUUGGGACUGAGACACGGCCCAA